UACAGAGGGUGCAAGCGUUGUCCGGAAUCACUGGGCGUAAAGGGCGCGUAGGUGGCCUGAUAAGUAGGAGGUGAAAUCCUGGGGCUUAACCUCAGGGCUGCCUUCUAGACUGUCCGGCUCGAGCACAGUAGAGGCAGGUGGAAUUCCCGGUGUAGCGGUGGAAUGCGUAGAGAUCGGGAAGAACAUCGGUGGCGAAGGCGGCCUGCUGGGCUGUUGCUGGACACUGAGGCGCGACAGCGUGGGGAGCAACAGGG
rnacentral:rRNA from 1 species